AACGAACGCUGGCGGCAUGCCUAACACAUGCAAGUCGAACGAGAUCUUCGGAUCUAGUGGCGCACGGGUGCGUAACGCGUGGGAAUCUGCCCUUGGGUUCGGAAUAACAGUGAGAAAUUACUGCCAAUACCGGAUGAUGUCUUCGGACCAAAGAUUUAUUGCCCAGGGAUGAGCCCGCGUAGGAUUAGCUAGUUGGUGGGGUAAUGGCCUACCAAGGCGACGAUCCUUAGCUGGUCUGAGAGGAUGAUCAGCCACACUGGGACUGAGACACGGCCCAGACUCCUACGGGAGGCAGCAGUGGGGAAUAUUGGACAAUGGGCGAAAGCCUGAUCCAGCAAUGCCGCGUGAGUGAUGAAGGCCUUAGGGUUGCAAAGCUCUUUUACCAGGGAUGAUAAUGACAGUACCUGGAGAAUAAGCUCCGGCUAACUCCGUGCCAGCCGCCGCCGUAA
rnacentral:rRNA from 1 species